GUGUCAGCAGCCGCGGUAAUACAGAGGGUGCGAGCGUUGUCCGGAAUCACUGGGCGUAAAGGGCGCGUAGGUGGCGGGAUAAGCGUGUGGUGAAAGCCCGGGGCUCAACCCCGGGUCUGCCAUGCGGACUGUCUUGCUCGAGCGUAGUAGAGGCAGGUGGAAUUCCGGGUGUAGCGGUGGAAUGCGUAGAGAUCCGGAAGAACACCGGUGGCGAAGGCGGCCUGCUGGGCUACUGCUGACACUGAGGCGCGACAGCGUGGGGAGCAAACAGGAUUAGAUACCCCCGUAGUCC
rnacentral:rRNA from 1 species